UCCAAAGAAGAGACACCGCUGUAUGGAGAAGCUUGGAGCCUGAGUCCUAAACCGAGAUCCUUCCCACGGUCCCCAUAACACCUCAGCAAGGUGGAUAAGACAGAGCAUACGGACGGAGACACAGAGGCCCAGAGAGUGCAAAGGAUGUGCCCGAGGUUGUGGAGCUCACGAACACACGCUGGCCUCGUACCCAGGAAUUGGGGCUCAAACCCCAGCCUCUUUGUGGCGCACGGAGACCAAGUUACUGCAGGAAACAGAGCUCGACUCAGAACCGGGUCUGCCUGUUUGACGCUUGAACUGGUCCGGGGAGGCGGGGUGCAGAGAGCAAGCAUCAGAUCGGCGAUGCAGGGUGGCUAAGCGCCCUGUGUUUAUUGUGCCCGGACUGAAUCCACCUCUUGUCUGUGUGUGGGAGUGCGGCGGGCUGGUGGUGGAAUUCAAGAAUGCCCGUUCUUUCAGCAGGAAGGGCAGCAAAUGGCCCCUCGUGCGUCGGUUGGUCUCCGCGAGGACGUGGAACGCAUUUCUCCGAGGCCACAGCUGGCGACAUCUGUGGCAUCAGGGGGCCGCAGCUGCCUCUGAGUUCCAACUGCGGAGUCUCUGCCCCGGAGCUGAAGGGCGGGCCACUGGCUGGACUUCACUGGUAGCCUGGCCUCUGGUCAGCUUACUGCGGCCACCGGAAGGCAGUGGGAAUGUUCCGGCCCGGGACCUGGGGCCCCCGGGAGGAAAAGCGUCCUGGCAAGGGAGUGACUGGCUGUGUUCCCGAGGCCCCCGGCCCAGUUUACCUUGUCUGCAACCCCUGUGGCAACUUCAGGCUGGGAACCUGGAGAGACAUUCUGGUCCUGGGGGAAGAGCACUGAAUUUGGAGUCACACGACGCAAGCACCAGUCUCAGAUCUGCUGUGGCCUAAGUGCCCAGCUCUGGGACUCCUAAAAAAAAUGGCAGAAGAGACCGAAAAUGACUUAGCCCGCGCUGUGAACGGUGAGCGACACACCGUGGGCCUGAGCAGCCAUCUACCAUGCCCACGUCAGAAAUUUCUGGACUAUCUCGACCAGAUGCUUACUGAGCACGUGUACAUGUACUCAGUCUCUGUGCUGGGUCCUGAGCAUGUCAACACGAAUGCUUUGGUUCCUGUCCUCAGGACGCUCCCCAUCCAGUUGGACCGAUCACUGACCAGGAUACAAGUACUCAGAGAGGGAAGGCAUGAAGCCAGCCUGGAUGGAAAUAAAGAAGGUUUAACUCCUAAAGAAGGAGAUAAUGGAGCCGAUUUGCCGUGGGUGAGCAGUUCGAGGUUGGCCGGAGCAAGGCUUGAGCCUAGCUAUACUGAGACACGAUGCCAUCUAGGAAGACACAAGCAAAGUGGAUUCUGCAAGAACUUGGUUGCAAAGAAUUAGCGCAUGAUCCCAUAGGCAAUGGGAGCCACUGAAGAACUUGGAGCAGGAGAGUGAUGUGAUUGAUGGACGAGUGUCUAAACAUCUCUCUCUCUAGCAGCUGCGAGAUGGAUGAGGCUGGAGACUGGACUGAAGUCAGUGUUUCUGUGGAGCCCAUCCUCAGCACAAUGGUCUGGUCACCAUCAUCUCUCACCUUCAGCUUUGCCCCAAGAGGUCAGUGCGACCCAUCCUGCUUAAAGCCGUCUGGAGUUUGCCAUCACCCCACCGACAGCCCCUGCAUGGUUCGGCCACCGGUCACCUGCCAACCUCAGCUCUUGCCACUUUUCACUCACCCUCUGUGCACCAGAAAACCCGUCGUUCCUCAAACCGGCAUGUUCUCUUUCUUCCGGGCCCGCAAGCAUAUGGUUUCCUGUUUCUCCUGCUCGCCUCCUAACCCUAUCCCUCCCAAUGCCACUACUCUUAAUCUUAACCUAGAUGUCCCUUCUGUUUGGAAAACUUUUCUGACCCCCAGGGCCAGGUGAGGUACUCCUGCCCUGUGUUACCCCUGCAGCCUGCACCAGCACGGUCCUUGCCUGCUUUACAGCCUAUGCUCCCACCAGCUUGUAGCAAGGUGAAGUUGUAACACGAAAAGUGGACUCUCCUGGUGACUUCUCUGCUCUAGUGCCUGGUGCGGCCCGUGGCAUAUUUGCACUGGUCUUUACUGAGUGCAUGACUGGAGGCGAAACAACCCUGAGGGUCACCCACACAUGUGCAUGUGCAGCAGAAGGCUCAAGGACAGAGUGGGGCCAAGGGGAUGGAGAGAAGAAGCAGAAGCUUCUGAAGACUUUGGCGAGUGCUGUCAGCGGUAUCUAGCUCCUCUUCAGCUUUCCCUAUCACUCCUGUCAGGUGUGGUCAAGGAUCCACGGCUUCCAAGAAUGCGUCCUAAGGGGAGGAAAGCGUAACGUCAUGCGACAGACUGUAAAAUCACGGCUCCCUAUGAACCCCUCCACGACAACAUUCACCACGUAGCCUUCCAUCCUGUCUUUAAGCUUCUCUCCCGCCGGACUAAAAAGUCCUUGAGGGAAGGGCGAGGGCAUAUCAAGGUCUCCACCCCCAGCGAUCUGCAGAGCGUGGUGCGCAGUAGACUCCUUGGAAAAGCUGACUACGUUCAUCAGAGGUCGGCUGAGAUUCAGUUCCUGGCCUCGAGGAGCUCACGGCAGCAGAAGAAAGGGUCUGUAUCUGCAGGCAACCUGCCCUGGAACAAAGCAAAGCAUUCUGAAGCUUACUCUUGCAUGGAAAAGCAAAGGAGUGUCGAUAGGUGCUUCGAAGCGACAAAAAAUACACGAGUGCCAGUUGUGGGCACCUUCCAACGUCCCGAAACAUCACUGGUUUCUGCCAAACAUUUCACAUACUCCUCAUAUUGCAAGACGUUGCUUGUUUAUCAAGUUAAAAUUUAUUAGAGGUGCUUGCUUGUCUGGUGAAACACUUGCAGAACAAGUUAGUCUCGAUGCAAGGUUUUACUGUAUUUGAUGUUCAUUCUUGAGGAUAAGAAAAUGGGAAAAUGCUUUUUCCCAAACUACCAGUAGAGGCUCAAUAAGGGUCUCAGUCCAUCAACCAACCCCCCUUGGCUUAUAAGAUGAGCCAGACGGUCUUGGCUUAUCUGGGAAGCCAUGAAAACAGACUCCUCCCACGUCACACCAUCCUCCUGUCCUGCAUGACUGACGGGAACCUAGCGACACAGAGAGUUCUUGACCCCCUCCAGCCACUGCAUGGAUUUGGUGUCUACUGUGUUACCGUGGCAUCUUGGAGUGGCUGCCAGGCCCAGACAUGCCCGUCCCUGUCCUGGAGGAGGGCGUUUCCCUAGCUGUGGCCCAAGCUUGCUCAUGUACCAACCGCACCGAAGAAAAGAUAUGUACAAAUGCCAGCAAGAGUUCAGCAAGAGCCGCGGGUAUGAGAAUCUACACGAAAGGGGGAAGUCAAGACAACCGUGGUGCUGGGUGAGUCUGGUGCUCACAGGAAGCAGAGGGGUUUCCUGACUAGAACAGAAAGUACCCGAGAGAGGAGGGAGAAGACCAGCCUCGUGGAGGUGACUCGGGGUCAUAACGGAAUGUCAACCCCAAUCCUUUAGUUUGUGUCUUACCGCUAGUUGAGUGAGCGCUCUUGACUCUGGAUGGUCUCCAUUAACACUACCAACGAGAAUUUUUCCUGAAGCCCUUCUCGGGAAGUGGCUGUUUGAACCCCACCAAGAGGCCCUUUCUCCAACAGUGUGCACACUCCCGGAGCCCCUCCACACAAAUGUUUCAUGUGGUGUAGCCGAGAAUUAAUUAGAAAAAGAAAAAAAAUCUCUCAAGUCAAAACACAUAUCUCACAACCUAUUAGCAUUAAGAUUAGCAUUAAAGAAAGUUGGA